rnacentral:rRNA from 1 species
GUGCCAGCCGCCGCGGUAAUACGUAGGGGGCAAGCGUUGUCCGGAUUUAUUGGGCGUAAAGAGCGUGUAGGCGGUCAGGUAGGUCGGUUGUGAAAACUGGAGGCUCAACCUUCAGAGGUCGACCGAAACCCCCUGGCUAGAGUCCGGGAGAGGAGAGUGGAAUUCCUGGUGUAGCGGUGAAAUGCGCAGAUAUCAGGAAGAACACCCGUGGCGAAAGCGGCUCUCUGGAACGGUACUGACGCUGAGACGCGAAAGCGUGGGGAGCGAACAGGAUUAGAAACCCUGGUAGUCC